rnacentral:rRNA from 1 species
UACGUAGGCAGCAAGCGUUGUUCGGAGUUACUGGGCGUAAAGAGUGCGUAGGUGGUGCCCUAAGUCUGUUGUGAAAUCUCCCGGCUUAACUGGGAGGGUGCGGUGGAAACUGGGGUGCUUGAGUGUGGGAGAGGGAUGCGGAAUUCCAGGUGUAGCGGUGAAAUGCGUAGAUAUCUGGAGGAACACCGGUGGCGAAGGCGGCAUCCUGGACCAUUACUGACACUGAAUAGCGAAAGCCAGGGGAGCAAACGGG